AAGGGACUCAGAGUGUCUUCCAACAGUAUGAAACACAGUUCCAGCAGUAUAAAACACAAUUCCAUAAGUCAGAUCAACUCCUGAUUUUCAAAGACCUUCCCUGGAGAGACUUUUCUGUCCUGUUUUUUUACCAGAUGAAAAAUUAGCAGUUUAAUUUAAAGCAAUAUUUUUAAUAUAAAUAAAAUAUAAAAUAAAACAUUUACUUUUGUUCUUAAAAUUAAUCAUGUAUUUUUCUUUCUGUGGAUAACUUUUCUCAUAUUGCACUCUUACCAGUUGAAUUGUCGUUGUGAAGAAUUUUGGAGGAUUUUUUUUAACUUGGAAGAUGUUGGUAUUUCAUAAUGCUGUUCAAUUUUGUGAAGUACAAGGGCAGAAGAAGUAAACAAUGGAGCUUAACUUUAUGAUGAGUAAUGACAAUAAAACUGUUCAACUAGGAAUGGGGAAUGUGUGACCUUCCAGAUGUUGUUUGACAAUGGUAAGAGAUCAUGGAAUCGCAAAGGUGGAAGAAACAAGAAGGGCCAUCCUUUCAGUCCAACAUUGAAUGCAGGAGUAUGCAUACAAUCUGUUGAAAAACUUCCAAAGAAGGAGACUUUAUUACAACCAGAGGCAGCACAUUUGAGCAGCACGUACUGUCAAGAAGUUCUUUUUAAUGUUUAGGUGGGAUCACUUUUUUAUAGCUUAAAUCUAUUGCUCCAUGUCCUGGUUUCUGAAGUAGCAGAAAACAAGCCUGUUCCAACUUCAAUAUGACAUCAUUUCAAAUAUCUAAACAUGGCUAUUUCAUCUGAUGAGUGAUGCUGCAGCCUAACUACAUCUGGAAUACAACAAAUUUCCUCCCUUCAGCUUCAAAGAAUCAAUAUUUGAUCAAUUAUGAUCAAUAUUUGACAAGUUCAGAAACUAGAGAGAGGGAAACUAUUUUUUCUGUCUAUCUACUGUCACAAAGAGCUACAGAACAUGAAAUGGUGAUGUGUACUCCAUUGAACGUAGUGGCAAAUGAAUAAUCUAAACUUUUGUCUUCUACAUCUGUUAGUACAUUUUUGUAGAAUAACAUAUGAAUGAAUAUGUAGAUGCAUCACUUUGAUUGAAUGGAAGGAUAGGUAAUCAAACUUGAUGACCUCUGAGAGUAUUGGGAGUUGUGAUCCAAAGCCUCUGAAGAUCAGUAGAUAGUUUUAUAUAGAUAAGAUUGUAUAAUAUCAAUAAAGUUAUUGAUACAGUAAAAAUCCCUCCUUGGCAGAAGACUAGCAUUGCAUUUGAGCAUAAUUCAGGAUACUCUGAUUAUUAAAUACUUCUGAAAACAAAGUUAAUAUAAGAGCAACCUGGGUUACAUUCACUGAUAAGGUAAUGAGCAGAGAUCAAUAUCCCCAUGUUGCAAAUCACGCUUUAAAUGUUUAUUUGAAUAUAGGCAAUUUUCUUAGAAAAGUUUUUGUAAGGUUUUAUUAUGGGAAGCUGAGUCAGCAUUUCCACAAUUGACAUGCAAAAUGAAACCAGGACAGCUGAUUCUUUAAACAGCAUUACUAGAGGACAGAAAAAUGCAACCCUUUGUCAAAGAGUCAUCAAGUAACUUUAUAGCUGUUGAAUCAAACCACUUUCUGAUAUGGCAAAAAAAGAAGAAGCUGGUUUUGCAUUUAGUUAAAUGGGUAAAAAGAUUCCAGUUAAUAAUUUGUUCCUGAUCAGGAUCCAAAUGGAGUAGGCUUUUCCUUUUUUGUGUAAAAACUGCUAUCGUGCAGCUAAUUUGUCUUAUCUAACAUAAAAAAUCUGGACAACUGUUGAAGUAGGAGAAAAUAUUAGACAUUAGAUAUAUUUUCAUUGAAAUUGGAACAUUUGUUUUGAAAGUGGGCCCUGGCCAAGAAACAGAAAGUAUAAAAACAUACACUACCUCUUUCCCCUGACAGUUCUCCCUUGCUGUCUCCCCACCUCUUACCUCCAUCAAUUGAAAAAAAAUUCCCAAGCUUCCCUCUUUUCCAGCUGAACUUCCAGUGAGUAAACCCAUGAUUCUUAUUCAAAAGUGGAGAAAGACCCAACAAAGCCGGACACUCAUGUCUGGAUGUCACACCACCACAAAUGAACUGGGUGCAAUCCAGCAUAAUUUGCCACAGAGCUACCACAGGUUUACCCAGUUAGAGCCACACUUACAGGAUAAAAGCAAUUUGAUGUUGUAUUGAUGGUCCACACAUAUCUCCAGCCCAAAUACUCUGAUCAGCAAUGGGUGGUGGCAACUGGACUACCCCAUCUCCAGCCCUGAUAUGUUUGGACAAGAAGGCAGCAGUAGAGAACCCAAGGAGUAAGUAGUACCAAUUCACAUGGUUAAGUGCCUUCUUACACAACCUUUGAGCAAAGAGAUUGUUUGAUUGCCUGGGAAGGCAGCAACAGAGGACCCAAGAAUAAAGAAAACCUUUUAUUUUUUUCUGGGGAACAAGUGGCUGGGCUCUGUGGUGAGGGAGUAGAGGCAGCAGCCAUGAGGAGGUUCCUUCCAGUUUUUGGGAGAACAGAAAAUGCCUGCCACCUCUAAUCUUUCUUGCAAGGCAAUUUUGAUGUGUGGACAACUGAAUCACCCCAAAUCCAAGCUGAUGCAGCUACGUACACUUCAAAAACACUGGGAGACAUCAUAGUUUCCAGUAAGGUCCAGAGUAAUUCAAGUUUCUUAAAAGAUAGAUUAAAAGAAGUAAAAGUGGCUGUAUGUUUUUUGGCCUGAUUGCACUAGAAUACAAGUGAGUGCAUUUUUUUUUACAUAGCUGUCUGGUCUAAUCUCACUAGGCCUGAGGUGUAAACAAGCCCUCUGAUCAUAUUUAUUAACCACCAUGUACAAUCCUUUUCACAUGCUUGCUCCAUUUAACACCUUCCCACCUCAAAGACUCUCUCCUUCUGCUGCCAGAUUUUAAACCCCGUUACCAACAAACACAUCAUCCAUACUCUCUCAGGUAUGUUCUGCCCACCACUAGCUCCUUCCACAACUCCACAAUGAUGGGAUGCAGUCUCAGAGGGCUGGCCACAUGCCAAAAAUAUUUCUGGAUUUUCUGAAAAACGGGUAAAAGGCUAGGUUUUCUUGAACCUAAAUUUACCUUAAAAGGUAUAUUACAAGUGAACAAUCAAGAAUAUUGUGUGACUGGGGCUAUGAGGUGAGUAUGAUCUGGGGCUAUGAGGUGAGUAUGAGCUUUUUAAGUCCACGUGGACAUGCCUUCAGUUCCAUUUUUAAGAGAAUUCAACCUUCUGAUGAGUCGUAUAGUAAUGAUCUCUCAUGCUUCUAAAGUAUCCAUCAUUGCAUCUUUGAAUUCAAAAUCUACAGCUGGUCUAUUUUGCACAGCCUGAUCAAUCAUCUCUUUCAUACAAAGCUUAAGAACCUUGGCACGCUAACAAAUUGUGAAAGAAAAUAAUCAAAGUCAAGAUGCUAGUUGUAGAAGUCAUCUGCCACUUUCAUCAUAUCUUAUUUUUAAACUUUUCAGAGGUAUUGAAAAGCCUUACAUUUUAUUCCCUGCCCCAUUUCUAAAACUUCAGUGAUGGGGUGGGGGAGAGUGCUGUUUCAUAACUGUGUUGAGGAACUUUUUGAAUAUGCUGAUUGCAGUAGUAGAGCUCAUAACACACAAGGGAAGUAAAGUCAAAAAUGUGCAAUUUGCAGAGCUUGAGAAAGUUCCUUUGGGGAUUACAUUUCUGAGAACUUCCCAGCCAACAUAUCAUUGGCUUAUGGAUUCAAAGGAGAAAGUUUUGCUCUGAUGCAAUCAUAAAUACAACAAGACACAUAGCUGGAGAGGAUACAGUUACAACUUUAUUUUGUUUUCAGCUGCACAUCACCAAUCUUAUAUUACGAUUGGUGCAUGUUAUUGUUUAUUGAUGUAUUGUAUAUUGUUUUGUAUUUGAUAUUUCUGUGAGCCGCCCCGAGUCCUCUCUGGAGGAGAUGGUGGCGGGAUACAAAUAAACUAGUUCUUCCUCUUCCUCUUCCUCCUCCUCUUCCUCCUCCUCUUCCUCCUCCUCUUCCUCCUCCUCUUCCUCCUCCUCCUCCUCCUCUUCUUCUUCUUCUUCUUCUUCUUCUUCUUCUUCAUCUGGAUAAAGUCAUAAGCCCACUUGUUGGACUAUAAACCAAUAGUGAAGUUGCUUCCAUAGAUUCUACAUCAAGCUGUUCUCCUAUCAUUGGGGGGGGGGGGGGGGGUAUGGCAACCUCACACUAGGGGUAGUCCAAGAUGUUGACAGUCCCAAAGUGCUACAAGGGAACCUUUAAAUUAGUUGGGUUUGUCAACAUGCCAAAUGUCUACUUUCUGGGUCUGGAUCCCAUGCCAAGCCACUUAUAAAGUUGUAAGAAUAGAAUUAAUUGCAAGAUAUAAUCCUCACUCCUUAUAGGAGGUGAUAGAAGGAUGCUCAGGAUACAUAUCCCAUUGGGCUUCUGGAAAGAAUAAGCCAUUGAUAUCACCACUCACCACUCCAACUUGAGACCAAUACACCCGUCUCUCAGUAAGUCAGUAUGUGCUCUUCUAGCAGUUGUAGUCCAAAAAGAUCUUUAAAAUAUGUUUGCUGUAUCCAAAGAAAUAAAGUCCAAUUGCCAAGGAUAGUUACAACAGGUGUUUUCAUAUGGUGAUCACUUCAUUUGAUAGACGGAUUAUCCCUAAUAUAUUGCAGUGGAAACAGAUGUAUUUUCUUCUUACUCAAGUAUCCUUUUAAAGCAGCUGUGCACACACUGCUGGGAAGGGGAAACAUUUUCCCUUUCAGUAAUGAAUGUAACUGUGUUGCCAAUCCUCCUUUUUUACUUGGAGAUAGAAUUCCCUUUCUGUUAACAUUGUUUUCAUCCUUGGCAACCAAACAUUUGGCUUUAUCUUCUAAUGUUCUUUUUCAGCAGCAUUACUACUUCCAGAUGUUUUCUCUGGGUGAUUUUCAUGUGAACUUGCUUGUAUUGGGUCAGUCACUCAAUUAUUAACACCUACAUUUCCUCAAAAGAAAGUCUUUUACAGAACAUAUAUCCAAGUCACUAAUUCCAUGUCCUAUGCUGCCCACUCCAUGUGAAACUGGUGGGAAUGAGGUUUUGAUUUGUCACACAAAAACAUUUGGAUGUGAAGUUCAACACUUAAGGCAAUUUCCACCCCUGGUUUAUUAUUUUCUCCCUUUCCCUAUUUUGUUCUUCCUUUUCAUAAACAGUGGUGCUUCCUUCUUAUAAUGAUUUUCAUUUUGGUUUUGAAUCUUGUAGACAUUUUUAGACUAAAUUCUUUGAAGGAGUAUGCAAAGUGCCCCACUCCAGUUAUUGAUGGAUUACAACUCCCACCAGUUAUUAUUGAGGAAUGUUGGGGGUUACAGUCUGGCAACUGGAGAAGAAAUAAUAUGUCUCUGUUUUUGAUGUAUAAACACAUGGGUCUGAAGAUGUUUUCUAAUUUCAUAAAAUAUUCUAAGCAAUUGAAUGCAGUACAUGGUGUUAAAAAAACCAGAAUGCUGAUAUUCUACAUAUAUUUAUGAUGUGAGUGCCUAUACCCAGACAUUUUUCACAUGCCUAUUUUGACUAUUUUUCCUUAGUUUGACAUGAGAAGGCAGCUGUGCAAAAAUAGCCUUACCAUGGCAUAAUAUAAAAUGGCUGUAUUGUCAUUUUUACAAGUAAUCAUUUUUCAUGAUAGUAUUAACUUCUGUCAUGGGAUUAGCAUACUAAGAAUUCUCUAUAGAAUGUCCAUUCAUUGUAUUAAAAAGAAAUCCUAGGGCAGCAUGAACUUGGGGAAUGCAAUGGGAAAUUUAAUGCAAAACCUUAUUAAUCCUCUUUUACAUGAUGGAUCAUAGCAGAUUCUUUUCCUAAUCUGUGCAUUUGGUGUAAUUUUACUAAAAUGUGGAGGCACUCAGAUAUGAUGUAUGGUGGUUAUCAUGACAAUCUCACAUCAUCACAUGAACAGCUAUGUAGAGACGAUGGAAUAUGAAAUCAAAGUGAAACGUCAUGCUUCCUGAUGAUUUGCAACAAGAUCUGUCUAGCUGAAGAUGUCAACAAUCUAAGGCAGAAUCUGUAUGGCAAAUAUAUUUUUUCAAUUGCAGAUUCAGUUGCACUUCUAAUAGGAAUUCUUUCUACAUGGAAUUUGUUUGGCCAAUACACUUGUUUUUUCAGUAUUAGGCAAAUACUUUAAAAAUAAUUCUUUAGACCUUUCUAUUUUGAUUUAAUAUUUGCGCUGCCAUAUCGCCAACUCUUUUUUCUCAAGUAUGAUUUUGAGAUACAUUUAUGGUUCUAUAUCUUUUCUGCUUGAAAAAAAAUCCUGGAAAGUACAGGUUGAGUAUCACAUAUCCAAAAUAUGCCAGAACCCAAAAUUAUCCACAUGUCUGGCUAAGUUAGUGACACCUUUGUUUGCUGAUGGUUUAGUAUACACAAAUUGUGUUUCACACCCAGCAUUUUUGGAAAUAUUGUGUAUAAAAUUACUUUCAAGCUGUGUGUGUAAGAUAUUCAUGAAACAUACAUGACAUUCAUGUUUAUGUUUGGCUCCAAUCUGCAAGAGACCCCAUUAUGUACACAUAUGCAAAUAUAGAUAUUAAAUCCUCAAAUAAAUAUGAAAUUUAGAAUACAUUUUGGAUAAAGCAAUUUGGAUAAGUAAUGCUCAUUCUGUAUAAAGGGCCCAAACACAUGACUCCUACGAGAUCAUUGUACUUUUACUGUACAUGUUUGUUAAUCUUAUUAUCAGGAUCUGCAAGUUUAUAAUUGCAGAUUCAUCCCUGCAGAAGGGAAAUUGCUUGCAUAUUCAGAAGUAAUUUUUCCAGAGUGUAUACAUUUGUAAUACUGCUCUAUUUACUUCAAAUUGAAAUGUGUCUUUGAAAUUCAACUAAAUUUGCUAUUAAUCAAGAAAGCCAUGCAUUUCUGAUUAUGUGCUAGGCAUAUUUAAACAAUCAACCCUACAGCAAGUGCAAUUCGUCCAACAUUUAAUGUAACUAAAA